GAGUUUGAUCCUGGCUCAGGAUGAACGCUGGCGGCGUGCUUAACACAUGCAAGUCGAACGGGAAACAUUUUAUUGAAGCUUCGGCAGAUUUAGCUGGUUUCUAGUGGCGGACGGGUGAGUAACGCGUGGGUAACCUGCCUUAUACAGGGGGAUAACAACCAGAAAUGGUUGCUAAUACCGCAUAAGCGCACAGGACCGCAUGGUCCGGUGUGAAAAACUCCGGUGGUAUAAGAUGGACCCGCGUUGGAUUAGCUAGUUGGCGGGGUAACGGCCUACCAAGGCGACGAUCCAUAGCCGGCCUGAGAGGGUGAACGGCCACAUUGGGACUGAGACACGGCCCAGACUCCUACGGGAGGCAGCAGUGGGGAAUAUUGCACAAUGGGGGAAACCCUGAUGCAGCGACGCCGCGUGAACGAUGAAGUAUCUCGGUAUGUAAACUUCUAUCAGCAGGGAAGAAAAUGACGGUACCUGACUAAGAAGCCCCGGCUAAAUACGUGCCAGCAGCCGCGGUAAUUC
rnacentral:rRNA from 1 species